ACUGCUAAUACCGCAUAAGACCACANCACCGCAUGGUGCAGGGGUAAAAACGUACCGGUGGUACAGGAUGGACCCGCGUCUGAUUAGGUAGUUGGUGGGGUAACGGCCUACCAAGCCGACGAUCAGUAGCCGACCUGAGAGGGUGACCGGCCACAUUGGGACUGAGACACGGCCCAAACUCCUACGGGAGGCAGCAUG
rnacentral:rRNA from 1 species